rnacentral:lncRNA from 1 species
ACUUCAAUGUCUUCUAGAAAGCUGAGGUAAAAGGAAGUUGAUAGCUUGCCUACUAAUUUCUACACAAGGAGAUUCUUUUUCUAAAAUGCAUAACCUUCCUGUCACUCCUCUGUGUGGAGCUUCUUCACGUCAAAUUCCAUGAGGGAAUUCAGGAUCUAGGCCAUGGGCUUGCAUCAUUUAAUAAGUACAC